CUAAUUUGCACAUUACAGCACUACAAAGCGAUAUAUGAACACAUCGUAAACAGCAACCACUCGAUCACACACACAAGAAACGAGGUACCCAACGUUGCUAGACACCAUCCGAACUCCGAAGUGAGAGUAGCAAAACAACAAGAUAUCAAAACACGAAAGGAAGAGUAUUGAUCCCCCCUCCUUCUAUAGCAUGCGAAACGUGAUUUGCGCUGAGAUGAACAUAUAUGUUCAUGACGCGAGUAAUUUUCACUUUUCACUGAUCCAAAGGAGGUCACGUGGGAUUGCUUGAAAAUGGCGAAACGAAACUUGUGAAUCGUGCAUUUGCUCUUCUUGGUAGCUGCCAGAAAAUCGAAUCAAGCUUAUGGGACACUGGAUUACAGGUUGCUGCCACUACUCCAUGUGCCCGCAAUUGUCUUGCGUGUAUGAUUACACUAACGGCGUCGCCAACCACGGCGGAAGUGUUUUGCGUACACGCGUUUCAGCAUGAAGCCUGCAGGUGGACGUAAAUUGUAGAAGGCAGCUAGUGGGGGAGAAGAUCAUGGUCAUAGGUCAUGUGACUCCUGGAGCUCCCAGUGGGCUCCCUUGUGGAGUACUUUUCAGAACACACACACAUACAGUUUGCUCACAGAACCAACGAGUAGGAUGUUGCUUGAAUACUGAGAGAAAAUGGCGUAACACAUACAAAUAUCGUGUGACACAUAUGACAAUAAAAACAUUUUUCACGAGGGAUGCAUGAAACACUGUCGCAAUAUUGUGUGCAUGAACCAUUGUGUGUGACACAAGCCGUGGGGGCACACCGCCUCGGACACAUUUUGGGAAGCAUAAAACACAGUAUAUACAGAGCUAGUAUGGUGGAUGCUUCUUUUUUCUUUUUGGCCGUUAUGAGACAUCUUCGGCCGUAAUGAGACUACCUUCGGCCGUAUUGAGACUUUGGCCGUAACGAGACACUUGGGGAUUAAAGGAUUUUCGGCCGUAAUGAGACUUUCGGCCGUAAUGAGACUUCGGCCGUA